AUUGAACGCUGGCGGCAUGCCUUACACAUGCAAGUCGAACGGUAACGGGCCUUCGGGUGCCGACGAGUGGCGAACGGGUGAGUAAUACAUCGGAACGUGCCCGAUCGUGGGGGAUAACGAGGCGAAAGCUUUGCUAAUACCGCAUACGAUCUACGGAUGAAAGCAGGGGACCGCAAGGCCUUGCGCGGACGGAGCGGCCGAUGGCAGAUUAGGUAGUUGGUGGGAUAAAAGCUUCCCAAGCCGACGAUCUGUAGCUGGUCUGAGAGGAUGAUCAGCCACACUGGGACUGAGACACGGCCCAGACUCCUACGGGAGGCAGCAGUGGGGAAUUUUGGACAAUGGGCGCAAGCCUGAUCCAGCCAUGCCGCGUGCAGGAUGAAGGCCUUCGGGUUGUAAACUGCUUUUGUACGGAACGAAAAGCCUUCUUUUAAUACAGGAGGGUCAUGACGGUACCGUAAGAAUAAGCACCGGCUAACUACGUG
rnacentral:rRNA from 1 species